rnacentral:rRNA from 1 species
GACGAACGCUGGCGGCGUGCUUAACACAUGCAAGUCGAACGGAAAGGCCCUGCUUUUGUGGGGUGCUCGAGUGGCGAACGGGUGAGUAGCACGUGAGUAACCUGCCCUUGACUUUGGGAUAACUUCAGGAAACUGGGGCUAAUACCGGAUAGGAGCUCCUGCUGCAUGGUGGGGGUUGGAAAGUUUCGGCGGUUGGGGAUGGACUCGCGGCUUAUCAGCUUGUUGGUGGGGUAGUGGCUUACCAAGGCUUUGACGGGUAGCCGGCCUGAGAGGGUGACCGGCCACAUGGGGACUGAGAUACGGCCCAGCCUCCUACGGGAGGCAGCAGGGGGGAAUUUUGCACAAGGGGCGGAAGCCUUACGCAGCAACGCCGCGUGGGGGAUGGCGGCCUGCGGUUUUUAAACCGCUUCCGCCUGUCACGAGGCGGGAGUGACGGUAAUGGGUAAAGAAGGACCGGCUAACUACGUG